UACGAAGGGGGCUAGCGUUGUUCGGAGUUACUGGGCGUAAAGGGCGCGUAGGCGGCGCACCAAGUCAGGCGUGAAAGCCCUGGGCUCAACCCGGGAAUUGCGCUUGAGACUGGUGUGCUUGAGUACGGGAGAGGAUAGUGGAAUUCCCAGUGUAGAGGUGAAAUUCGUAGAUAUUGGGAAGAACACCGGUGGCGAAGGCGGCUAUCUGGACCGUAACUGACGCUGAGGCGCGAAGGCGUGGGGAGCAAACAGG
rnacentral:rRNA from 1 species